rnacentral:lncRNA from 1 species
GGACAACUCUGGUUCCUGCUAUUGAUUGGGAUUCUCAGCUGUGGAGAUGAUGCAUUUUGCUGAAAACUGAUUCUAGGCCAGCGUUUCUUUGAUUCUUGUCCCCCAAAGAAUGGCAACAUUAAAUAGUAUUGGUUGAAUUGUUGUAUAAGCUGAAUUUGCAGAUGAGGUCUCUUCUGGGAAGAGAAGAAACUCAACUACUGAAGUAGACAUCUUGACACGCUGCUCAGUGAGUGCUGAGGUGAAACAUCAGUGAGGAUCUGGUUUCCAGUUCACCUCCACCAUUCACUCGUAGAUGCCGCUCAUAGAGGGCUUGAAAGCCACAUGUAGG